GACGAACGCUGGCGGCGUGCCUAAUACAUGCAAGUUGAGCGCUGAAGGUUGGUACUUGUACCAACUGGAUGAGCAGCGAACGGGUGAGUAACGCGUGGGGAAUCUGCCUUUGAGCGGGGGACAACAUUUGGAAACGAAUGCUAAUACCGCAUAAAAACUUUAAACACAAGUUUUAAGUUUGAAAGAUGCAAUUGCAUCACUCAAAGAUGAUCCCGCGUUGUAUUAGCUAGUUGGUGAGGUAAAGGCUCACCAAGGCGAUGAUACAUAGCCGACCUGAGAGGGUGAUCGGCCACAUUGGGACUGAGACACGGCCCAAACUCCUACGGGUGGCAGCAGUAGGGAAUCUUCGGCAAUGGACGAAAGUCUGACCGAGCAACGCCGCGUGAGUGAAGAAGGUUUUCGGAUCGUAAAACUCUGUUGGUAGAGAAGAACGUCGGUGAGAGUGGAAAGCUCAUCAAGUGACGGUAACUACCCAGAAAGGGACGGCUAACUACGUG
rnacentral:rRNA from 1 species